rnacentral:rRNA from 1 species
CCUACGGGAGGCAGCAGUGGGGAAUCUUGCGCAAUGGGCGAAAGCCUGACGCAGCGACGCCGCGUGAGGGAUGAAGGUCUUCGGAUCGUACACCUCUGUCAGCAGGGAAGUACGGUCCCUUUGCUAAUCAGCAGUGCAUUGACGGUACCUGCAAAGGACGCACCAGCUCACGCCGUGCCAGCAGCCGCGGUAAUACGCAGGGUGCUGACGUUCAUCGGAAUUACUGGGCGUAAAGCGCUCGUAGGCGGGAUCUCAAGUCAAGGGUGAAAUCCCCGCGCUCAACGUGGGAACUGCCUUUGAAACUGGCAAACUUGAGUGUGUAAGAGGAUAGUGGAAUUCCAGGUGUAGGAGUGAAAUCCGUAGAUAUCUGGAGGAACAUCAGUGGCGAAGGCGACUAUCUGGCACAUAACUGACGCUGAGGAGCGAAAGCGUGGGUAGCAAACAGGAUUAGAUACCCCGGUAGUC